CUGACUUUAAAAGUUGGAGUUGUCAGUGUGUGAAAUGUCACCCUAAUGAAAGUGACUCUCUUGGAAGUGAUGACAGGAGAUGGUUGGCUGUGUUUGGAUGGAGUGUGUGUGAGGAAGGGGGUGGGGGGUGUGUGUGGGGGUGACUGGGGGCUCUCCUGGGGGCACUGAUGGCAGUGCUGAGCCAGGAGUGCAUCUGAGGCGUGUUGGGCACAUCUGGGGCCCCUCUGCAACACUGCCUGUGAUUAAAGCCCCAAAAAAACCCACCAGGAGAGCCCCAGGCAGCCCAAAUCUCUGCCAGGGUCAGCAGAGACCCUGGGAUCUGAUCUCA